CUUCCUGUGCAUCAGUCAGUAGAGCAUUGAGCUAGCAACGCAAAGAUCAUGGGUUUGAAUCCCAGGCGAGAACG